rnacentral:lncRNA from 1 species
AUCGUGUGUUUCAUUUAUUGGAAACAGCUGGGUGAAAUCCUUGGUGGAAAAGAAGUUCUCAUCCCUCCUAGAGAUAUUUAAAGAUAUUUGGAGGAUAAUUGAAUUUAAAAACAUAUUUUGUGGAAGAAUAUUUGAUUGCUUUCCUGUUGACUGACUCAUUCUUUUUCAAGUAUUAAAUCAUCAAAAAGGGUAACCUUUGAAUAUAUUCAGAAAAAAAGCACACAAUAGUGAAAAUACAAGAAAGAGAAUCAAGAUAUGUCAUCUACAAGUACAAAUUCCCUAUGAUGAAUGUGAUCAUUUUGCAU